rnacentral:rRNA from 1 species
UACGUAGGGUGCAAGCGUUAUCCGGAGUUAUUGGGCGUAAAGAGCUCGUAGGCGGUUUGUCGCGUCUGCUGUGAAAACUGGGGGCUCAACCCCCAGCCUGCAGUGGGUACGGGCAGACUAGAGUGCGGUAGGGGAGAUUGGAAUUCCUGGUGUAGCGGUGGAAUGCGCAGAUAUCAGGAGGAACACCGAUGGCGAAGGCAGAUCUCUGGGCCGUAACUGACGCUGAGGAGCGAAAGCAUGGGGAGCGAACAGG